rnacentral:rRNA from 1 species
ACGGGAGGCAGCAGUAGGGAAUCUUCCGCAAUGGACGAAAGUCUGACGGAGCAACGCCGCGUGAACGAUGAAGGCUUUCGGGUCGUAAAGUUCUGUUGUCAGGGAAGAACAAGUACCGGAGUAACUGCCGGUACCUUGACGGUACCUGACCAGAAAGCCACGGCUAACUACGUGCCAGCAGCCGCGGUAAUACGUAGGUGGCAAGCGUUGUCCGGAAUUAUUGGGCGUAAAGCGCGCGCAGGCGGUUCCUUAAGUCUGAUGUGAAAGCCCCCGGCUCAACCGUGGAGGGUCAUUGGAAACUGGGGAACUUGAGUGCAGAAGAGGAGAGCGGAAUUCCACGUGUAGCGGUGAAAUGCGUAGAGAUGUGGAGGAACACCAGUGGCGAAGGCGGCUCUCUGGUCUGUAACUGACGCUGAGGCGCGAAAGCGUGGGGAGCAAACAGGAUUAGAUACCCUGGUAGUCCACGCCGUAAACGAUGAGUGCUAAGUGUUAGAGGGUUUCCGCCCUUUAGUGCUGCAGCUAACGCAUUAAGCACUCCGCCUGGGGAGUACGGCCGCAAGGCUGAAACUCAAAGGAAUUGAC